rnacentral:rRNA from 1 species
GGUUGGAUGUGUUUAGCCCGCCAUGGUUUCAUGUGUGAGUGCUGAUACUCAUCUACCUUCCUUCUAGAUAGUCCAUUCUUCUCUUCAUUGAGGGGAAUGAGGCACUAGAUCUUUUACUUUGAAAAAAUUAGAGUGUUUCAAGCAGGCGUUUGCUUUGAAUACAUUAGCAUGGAAUAAUAAGUUAGGACUUCGGUUCUAUUUUGUUGGUUUCUAGAGCUGAAGUA